CAGAGAGUAGUUUAAAUUAAAAUUUUAAUUUUGGAGAUUAAGGAUGAAGGUGUUUUCUUCUCUGA
rnacentral:tRNA from 1 species